rnacentral:rRNA from 1 species
UACAGAGACUGCAAGCGUUAUUCGGAUUCACUGGGCGUAAAGGGUGCGCAGGCGGCCGAGUGUGUGAGGCGUGAAAGCCCGGGGCUUAACCCCGGAAUUGCACCUCAAACUACACGGCUAGAGCAUUGGAGAGGGUAGCAGAACUCAUGGUGUAGCAGUGAAAUGCGUAGAUAUCAUGAGGAAUACCAGAGGCGAAGGCGGCUACCUGGACAAUUGCUGACGCUCAGGCACGAAAGCGUGGGGAGCAAAAGGG